GCAAAUGAGACGUGAGAGUAUUGAGGAUAUUCCGAUAUUCCAAAAACUGUAGCAGCGACAAUGAAUCUCAACACACAAUCUUCAAUCAGGAAUUUAUCGACCUUACUUGUGCUUUUUAUAUGAGAUAUACUUUAAUCGAUUUUGUAAGCCACAAACUUCCAUGAAACACUUGUGUUGUUAUCAAAGUCAGCCAUCUGGACUUUUAGUAUUGAAGUGCAUUUUUGCAUUUGUUGGGCAGUGUUCGGCAGUGAAAUCGGACAAUUACUGGGAUUUCGUAGCAUCGUAUUCGUUAUCAAGCGUGACGCAAGCUCUUAUCCACUCUACGCUCAAGCUUAUGUCGCCUUUUGCUUUUCUUCUCAUUAACGACAUUUGCAACUCAAAAUUAAUGCACAAAAAUGGACGUCGAGAACAAAACUAUAGGAUUAAAUACGAUUGAUGUGACAAUUAAUUUGGACGUCAGACAGUACUUUCUACCGAUUUUCACGUGUCUGGGUCUGCUGGGCAACUGUCUGUCCGUGUAUGUGCUUUUGCGCCCGGAGCUUCGUUGCACUUCUAUCAGCAUCUACAUGGGUGCAUUAGCGAUAAACGACACUGGUGUUCUGAUAAUUCUUCUCAUAGCUUGGCUCAAUGUAAUGUACAUAACCGAUCCGAUUUAUUGGUUCUAUUUGUUGAGCUUCCAAGUCUUUUUUGUCUUUCUGAGCGUGUGGUUUACAGCGGCUUUUACCGUUCAGCGAUAUAUAGCGACAAAGUGGCCACUUCGUUAUCAAUCCUUGUGCACAAUGUAUCGAGCGAAGAUCGUGAUUAUUGUGCUAAUUGGAUUAGCGAUUUCAUACACCAUCUCGUGGUUUUCAUUCUUCUCUUCUAUUGACAUUGACGUUUACGCGCAAGAAAAUGAUACGAUAUAUAAGAUCGUCUAUACGGCGAACAAGAAUGCAGAGAACUUGUUGUUACGGGAAUUGAUUUUAAGAAUCACUGAUAUUAUCACACACAUAUUGUUCGCUCUGCCUUUAAUCAUAAUAAUUAUCUUCAGUACUCUAAUAAUGCGUAACGUCUACAAGCAAAAUAAUGUCCGCAGGAUCUUGAUUAAAACAUCCGAUGAGAAGACUCACAUUUUUAGCAAUAAAAUGCAGAUUAAAAUCUCAGAAAUGUUUAUUAUCGUUUCUACCGUACUCAUGAGCUUGAAACCUAUUUACAUCUGCUCGUUCAUUGGCAAUUAUUACAUUCAGAAUAAAACACCGCUAUGGUUUGAUUUGACGUCACAAAUAGACGAUUUGUUAUUUCUCAUAAAUCACGGAAUAAGCUUUCUUUAUUUUGUGAAUAGACAAAAAUUUCGCAAAGAGGUAAUCCGCAUGCUUACGAAGAUACUUGGGAGAAUAAAAAUAUCAUGGAAAUAAACAAUUAUGAGUGACAGUAUGACUGGUGAACAAUCAAAUGCUAAUUAGUUUCAGAAAAUGACCAAAUGCAGUUCGACAAAUGACGAUGCACGAUAGAAGGUUCCGAAGAAACGCUGAAGUUCUUGAUACACGAGAAAUUAUACAAGUAUAAAAGUUCUGUAUAGAUGGAAGCUGACUUAUGCAUUCGAAGAAAUGUUGAUUUAACAAUUAAAAUAGUUGAAUUGUUAUAUUAUGAAUCAUAAUACAAGGCCAACCUGUGAUUAUUAAAGAAAAAAAUUCAAAUUUUUUUUAAAAAAAAAAAGAA
rnacentral:misc_RNA from 1 species